GUAGGGAAUCUUGCGCAAUGGGCGAAAGCCUGACGCAGCCAUGCCGCGUGAAUGAUGAAGGUCUUAGGAUUGUAAAAUUCUUUCACCGGGGACGAUAAUGACGGUACCCGGAGAAGAAGCCCCGGCUAACUUCGUGCCAGCAGCCGCGGUAAUACGAAGGGGGCUAGCGUUGCUCGGAAUUACUGGGCGUAAAGGGAGCGUAGGCGGAUAGUUUAGUCAGAGGUGAAAGCCCAGGGCUCAACCUUGGAAUUGCCUUUGAUACUGGCUAUCUUGAGUAGUGAAGAGGUAUGUGGAACUCCGAGUGUAGAGGUGAAAUUCGUAGAUAUUCGGAAGAACACCAGUGGCGAAGGCGACAUACUGGUCCAUUACUGACGCUGAGGCUCGAAAGCGUGGGGAGCAAACAGGAUUAGAUACCCGAGUAGUCC
rnacentral:rRNA from 1 species